rnacentral:rRNA from 1 species
GAUGAACGCUGGCGGCGUGCCUAAUACAUGCAAGUCGAGCGAACAGACGAGGAGCUUGCUCCUCUGACGUUAGCGGCGGACGGGUGAGUAACACGUGGAUAACCUACCUAUAAGACUGGGAUAACUUCGGGAAACCGGAGCUAAUACCGGAUAAUAUCUUGAACCGCGUGGUUCAAUAGUGAAAGACGGUUUUGCUGUCACUUAUAGAUGGAUCCGCGCCGCAUUAGCUAGUUGGUAAGGUAACGGCUUACCACGGCAACGAUGCGUAGCCGACCUGAGAGGGUGAUCGGCCACACGGGAACUGAGACGCGGUCCAGACUCCUACGGGAGGCAGCAGUAGGGAAUCUUCCGCAAUGGGCGAAAGCCUGACGGAGCAACGCCGCGUGAGUGAUGAAGGUCUUCGGAUCGUAAAACUCUGUUAUUAGGGAAGAACAAAUGUGUAAGUAACUAUGCACGUCUUGACGGUACCUAAUCAGAAAGCCACGGCUAACUACGUG